rnacentral:rRNA from 1 species
AUUGAACGCUGGCGGCAGGCCUAACACAUGCAAGUCGAGCGAGCGGCGGACGGGUGAGGAAUGUUUGGGAAAAUGCCUGAUGGAUGGGGAUCACUACUGGAAACGGUAGCGAAUACCGCAUUCAAUCAGCUGUGGCCAGUUGGGAGUGGCUAGUAGGUGGGGUAACGGCCCACCUAGGCGACGAUCCCUAGCUGGCCUGAGAGGAUGACCGGCCACACUGGAACUGAGACACGGCCCAGACUCCUACGGGAGGCAGCAGUGGGGAAUAUUGGACAAUGGGCGCAAGCCUGAUGCAGCAAUGCCGCGUGUGUGAAGAAGGCCUUCGGGUUGUAAAGCACUUUCAGCGGGGAGGCGUUACCCGCAGAAGAAGCACCGGCUAACUCCGUGCCAGCAGCCGCGGUAAUUC